rnacentral:rRNA from 1 species
UACGGGAGGCAGCAGUGGGGAAUAUUGCACAAUGGGCGCAAGCCUGAUGCAGCCAUGCCGCGUGUAUGAAAAAGGCCUUCGGGUUGUAAAGUACUUUCAGUCGUGAGGAAGGUGUUAAGGUUAAUAACCUUAGCAAUUGACGUUAGCGACAGAAGAAGCACCGGCUAACUCCGUGCCAGCAGCCGCGGUAAUACGGAGGGUGCGAGCGUUAAUCGGAAUUACUGGGCGUAAAGGGCACGCAGGCGGUUAAUUAAGUUGGAUGUGAAAUCCCCGGGCUUAACCUGGGAAUGGCAUUCAAGACUGGUUAGCUAGAGUCUUGUAGAGGGGGUUAGAAUUCCAUGUGUAGCGGUGAAAUGCGUAGAGAUGUGGAGGAAUACCGGUGGCGAAGGCGGCCCCUGGGACAAAGGACUGACGCUCAUGUGCGAAAGCGUGGGGAGCAAACG